GACGUAGGGCGCGAGCGUUGUCCGGAUUUAUUGGGCGUAAAGAGCUCGUAGGCGGCUUGUUGCGUCGACUGUGAAAAUCCGCGGCUUAACUGCGGGCUUGCAGUUGAUACGGGCAGGCUAGAGUUCGGUAGGGGAGACUGGAAUUCCUGGUGUAGCGGUGAAAUGCGCAGAUAUCAGGAGGAACACCGGUGGCGAAGGCGGGUCUCUGGGCCGAUACUGACGCUGAGGAGCGAAAGCGUGGGGAGCGAACAGG
rnacentral:rRNA from 1 species